CAAUAGCGUAUAUUAAAGUUGUUGCAGUUAAAAAGCUCGUAGUUGGAUUUCUGAUCGAGACAUCAGGUCGGGUCCGAGAGGAUCAUGUACUUUGAUUUUGUUUUGAUCAUCCUUGGGGAGAGCAUUUCUGGCAUUCAGUUGUCGGGACUGGGAUCCUCAUCGUUUACUGUGAAAAAAUUAGAGUGUUCAAAGCAGGCCUCGGCCUCUGAAUACAUUAGCAUGGAAUAAUAAGAUAGGACUUUGGUGGUCUAUUUUGUUGGUUUGCACGCCAAAGUAAUGAUUAAUAGGGAUAGUUGGGGGUAUUCGUAUUCAAUUGUCAGAGGUGAAAUUCUUGGAUUUAUGGAAGACGAACUACUGCGAAAGCAUUUACCAAGGAUGUUUUCAUUAA
rnacentral:rRNA from 1 species